rnacentral:rRNA from 1 species
GAUGAACGCUGGCGGCGUGCCUAAUACAUGCAAGUCGAGCGAACGGACGAGAAGCUUGCUUCUCUGAUGUUAGCGGCGGACGGGUGAGUAACACGUGGAUAACCUACCUAUAAGACUGGGAUAACUUCGGGAAACCGGAGCUAAUACCGGAUAAUAUUUUGAACCGCAUGGUUCAAAAGUGAAAGACGGUCUUGCUGUCACUUAUAGAUGGAUCCGCGCUGCAUUAGCUAGUUGGUAAGGUAACGGCUUACCAAGGCAACGAUGCAUAGCCGACCUGAGAGGGUGAUCGGCCACACUGGAACUGAGACACGGUCCAGACUCCUACGGGAGGCAGCGGUAGGGAAUCUUCCGCAAUGGGCGAAAGCCUGACGGAGCAACGCCGCGUGAGUGAUGAAGGUCUUCGGAUCGUAAAACUCUGUUAUUAGGGAAGAACAUAUGUGUAAGUAACUGUGCACAUCUUGACGGUACCUAAUCAGAAAGCCACGGCUAACUACGAG